AUUAGACGAAUCAUCUGGAAAGAUGAAUCAAAGAAGGUAAUAAUCCUGUAGUCGAAAAUGUUGUCUCUCUUGAGUGGAUCCUGAGUACGACGGAGCACGUGAAAUUCCGUCGGAAUCUGGGAGGACCAUCUCCUAAGGCUAAAUACUCUCUAGUGACCGAUAGUGAACCAGUACCGUGAGGGAAAGGUGAAAAGCACCCCGGAAGGGGAGUGAAAUAGAACCUGAAACCGUGUGCUUACAAGUAGUCAGAGCCCGUUAAUGGGUGAUGGCGUGCCUUUUGUAGAAUGAACCGGCGAGUUACGAUUUGAUGCAAGGUUAAGCAGUAAAUGUGGAGCCGUAGCGAAAGCGAGUCUGAAUAGGGCGUUUAGUAUUUGGUCGUAGACCCGAAACCAGGUGAUCUACCCUUGGUCAGGUUGAAGUUCAGGUAACACUGAAUGGAGGACCGAACCGACUUACGUUGAAAAGUGAGCGGAUGAACUGAGGGUAGCGGAGAAAUUCCAAUCGAACCUGGAGAUAGCUGGUUCUCUCCGAAAUAGCUUUAGGGCUAGCCUCAAGUGAUGAUUAUUGGAGGUAGAGCACUGUUUGGACGAGGGGCCCCUCUCGGGUUACCGAAUUCAGACAAACUCCGAAUGCCAAUUAAUUUAACUUGGGAGUCAGAACAUGGGUGAUAAGGUCCGUGUUCGAAAGGGAAACAGCCCAGACCACCAGCUAAGGUCCCAAAAUAUAUGUUAAGUGGAAAAGGAUGUGGCGUUGCCCAGACAACUAGGAUGUUGGCUUAGAAGCAGCCAUCAUUUAAAGAGUGCGUAAUAGCUCACUAGUCGAGUGACACUGCGCCGAAAAUGUACCGGGGCUAAACAUAUUACCGAAGCUGUGGAUUGUCCUUUGGACAAUGGUAGGAGAGCGUUCUAAGGGCGUUGAAGCAUGAUCGUAAGGACAUGUGGAGCGCUUAGAAGUGAGAAUGCCGGUGUGAGUAGCGAAAGACGGGUGAGAAUCCCGUCCACCGAUUGACUAAGGUUUCCAGAGGAAGGCUCGUCCGCUCUGGGUUAGUCGGGUCCUAAGCUGAGGCCGACAGGCGUAGGCGAUGGAUAACAGGUUGA
rnacentral:rRNA from 1 species